rnacentral:rRNA from 1 species
ACGAACGCUGGCGGCGUGCUUAACACAUGCAAGUCGAACGGAAAGGCCCUGCUUUUGUCGGGUGCUCGAGUGGCGAACGGGUGAGUAACACGUGAGUAACCUGCCCUUGACUUUGGGAUAACUUCAGGAAACUGGGGCUAAUACCGGAUAGGAGCUCCUGCUGCAUGGUGGGGGUUGGAAAGUUUCGGCGGUUGGGGAUGGACUCGCGGCUUAUCAGCUUGUUGGUGGGGUAGUGGCUUACCAAGGCUUUGACGGGUAGCCGGCCUGAGAGGGUGACCGGCCACAUUGGGACUGAGAUACGGCCCAGACUCCUACGGGAGGCAGCAGUGGGGAAUAUUGCACAAUGGGCGGAAGCCUGAUGCAGCAACGCCGCGUGCGGGAUGACGGCCUUCGGGUUGUAAACCGCUUUCGCCUGUGACGAAGCGUGAGUGACGGUAAUGGGUAAAGAAGCACCGGCUAACUACGUG